rnacentral:rRNA from 1 species
ACGUAGGGGGCAAGCGUUAUCCGGAAUUACUGGGCGUAAAGCGCGCGCAGGCGGUUCUUUAAGCGUGAGGUGAAAGGUAAUAGCUCAACCCCUGUAAGCCUUCGAUACUGGAGGACUUGAGUGUCGGAGAGGGAAGUGGAAUUCCCGGUGUAGCGGUGAAAUGCGUAGAUAUUGGGAGGAACACCAGUGGCGAAGGCGGCUUUCUGGACUAUAACUGACGCUAAUGUGCGAAAGCUUGGGGAGCAAACAG